rnacentral:rRNA from 1 species
UACGAAGGGGGCUAGCGUUGCUCGGAAUCACUGGGCGUAAAGGGCGCGUAGGCGGCCAUUCAAGUCAGGGGUGAAAGCCUGUGGCUCAACCACAGAAUUGCCUUUGAUACUGUUUGGCUAGAGACCGGAAGAGGUAAGUGGAACUGCGAGUGUAGAGGUGAAAUUCGUAGAUAUUCGCAAGAACACCAGUGGCGAAGGCGGCUCUCUGGAACGCAACUGACGCUGAGACGCGAAAGCGUGGGGAGCAAACAGG